CUGGGUCAGAACCGGGUAUCAACAGGGUCAGAGAGACUCCUCCAGCGGGUCAGAACCGGGUCAGUGAGUCUCCUCCAGCGGGUCAGAACCGGUUUUGGGUCAGUGAGUCUCCUCCAGCGGGUCGGAACCGGGACAGAACC